UACGUAGGCAGCAAGCGUUGUUCGGAAUUACUGGGCGUAAAGAGUGUGUAGGCGGUGCUCUAAGUUUGGUGUGAAAUCUCCCGGCUCAACUGGGGGGGUGCAUCGAAAACUGGAAUGCUAGAGGGUGGGAGAGGUAAGCGGAAUUCCUGGUGUAGCGGUGAAAUGCGUAGAUAUCAGGAGGAACACCUGUGGUGUAGACAGCUUACUGGACCACUUCUGACGCUGAGACACGAAAGCGUGGGUAGCAAACAGG
rnacentral:rRNA from 1 species